GCAUAACCCCUCAGGCUGGCAAUUGCUCCUAAUAAAAUGGCACUUGGCGUUGUGUACUGUAACAAAAGCACGAAUCUGUACAUUGCAUCCCCUUUUACAAGAAAAUUCAGCUUAUCAGCCAAUGCUACAAUGCCAAUUCCCAGCAGAGGGAGCACCAAAAGCCUAGCUACAGAUAUACCAAUUGUGGUUGCAAGACCGAGUGUAGACUCAUUUGGCCCCUCAGCUAGCAUACCUCCAAGAAUAAGCAUCACAGAAGGCACCAUAGCACCAGCUAAAAUCUCUAAACUGUCUGUGAUAAAAGAUAAUGGAGCAUCAUAUCCAAAGACAAAAGCUUUUAGCUGAGGCACCAUCCCAACAAUGAUUGCUAAUAAAGAAGCAAUUGUUGGAGGUUGAAGUAUGUGACGUAUUGGAGUUUGCUCCGCCACAAUUCGUAUUCUCCUCACAACUCUUGGCUCAGCCAAACACCUAAUGGACCUAGGACUGUUUGCAGAACUAUCUCCAGCAAGCUCAAUGUCAGGAAAAUUGGUUUGUGAAACGCUUGAGAUGCUAUUAAAAAUCCUAGCAAUGAAAGGAGUCUUGGCAUGUUCAGUCUCUUUUAUCCUCAAUGCCUGGCCAUUCAGCUUCUACAAGGAGAGGUCUACUGACAUCAGGAGUUGGCUGUUGUUCCUCAAUCUCGAACCCUUCCUCAACAAUCUCAUAAUACUCCAAUGGUGGUUCCAUCAUAUGAUAAACAAGAGUGUAAACCAGAAUUACAGCAACCCAUUGUGCAAAAGAGACAUAAGCCACUCCCCUUGAGUGGCAAUGAGCUCCGAAUGGGCUAUCUUUAGUAUGGCAGACAGAUCCAACAAUCGCUAGAGAAAGAUUUCCAGUGUUGCCAAAUGCAGUCAUGAUAAUGGUGAAUCUGUUAAACUGUGGCGGUGGCUGACAUAUUGCAACAACUAAUAGCCCAAGAAAGAAACCAAUAAUUGUACUAACCAGUACAUUAACAGGAAUAAACCACCAAAGAACAAAGUUUUCAAGUGUAAUGCUUUCACCAAGCUCAGUGAAGAUCAGGCAGGGCAAGAACAGAGCAAAAACUAACUUGCUUAGGAGCUUAAAUGUUGCUUUGGGGAUGAUUUGGGUUUUUGGGUGCGCAAGAAUCAAUCCUAUAAUUGUAAGGGCUAUAAUUAUAAGGCAGAGAAGUUUCAUCAAAGGCACUAUAGAAGUAACCAAAUUUUCACCACUAGACCUCAUAUUGUUUUCAUAUAAAGCAUUAAUGUAACCAGACAUCUUCCCUUCAAAUAUUUAAAGAUCAAGAAAAAUAUUUCUUCAGAUCGUAGAAAG
rnacentral:misc_RNA from 1 species